AUUGAACGCUGGCGGCAGGCUUAACACAUGCAAGUCGAGCGGGGGGAGGUAGCUUGCUACCGGACCUAGCGGCGGACGGGUGAGUAAUGCUUAGGAAUCUGCCUAUUAGUGGGGGACAACAUCUCGAAAGGGAUGCUAAUACCGCAUACGUCCUACGGGAGAAAGCAGGGGAUCUUCGGACCUUGCGCUAAUAGAUGAGCCUAAGUCGGAUUAGCUAGUUGGUGGGGUAAAGGCCUACCAAGGCGACGAUCUGUAGCGGGUCUGAGAGGAUGAUCCGCCACACUGGGACUGAGACACGGCCCAGACUCCGACGGGAGGCAGCAGGGGGGAAUAUUGGACAAUGGGGGGAACCCUGAUCCAGCCAUGCCGCGUGUGUGAAGAAGGCCUUAUGGUUGUAAAGCACUUUAAGCGAGGAGGAGGCUACUUUAGUUAAUACCUAGAGAUAGUGGACGUUACUCGCAGAAUAAGCACCGGCUAACUCUGUGCCAGCCGCCGCGGUAA
rnacentral:rRNA from 1 species